UACGUGAAACCGUUCAGGGGUAAACCUGAGAAACCCGAAAGAUCGAACGGGGAGAUUCAGUGUUCUCGUUGCCUUCCGUUCGCUGUCGUGCGAUUGACCGGGAUUCGUCCUGUGAUACGCCUUCGGCUUAUGCGUUUGGUGGCGAGGGCAUGCACUUCUCCCCUAGUAGGACGUCGCGACCCGUUGGGUGUCGGUCUACGGCCGCGGUGGUAGCCUGAAGUGAAUUUAUUCUCGUCAGACCCUGCGUGUUCUGGCCGACUGCCCGACGGUAUAUGAUUGUUGUAUAGGGUCGCUAACUUAAGCGUUCGGCCGGUCGCAAGCGUGUGCGGUUCUUUUGGCUGUCGGACCUGGUCCGGCACCGAUCCCGCUCGUGCUGUUGGUGGCCGUGUCCUCGGACAGACUCAUACAGGUCAGCGAUGCUAUUGCUUUGGGUACUUUCAGGACCCGUCUUGAAACACGGACCAAGGAGUCUAGCAUGUGCGCAAGUCAU
rnacentral:rRNA from 2 species